UCUUGGUCAUUUAGAGGGAGUAAAAGUCGUAACAAGGUUUCCGUAGGUGAACCUGCGGGAGGGUCAUUAUGAAUUAUAAAUAUUUGUGAAUUUACCACAGCAAACAAAAAUCAUACAAUCAAAACAAAAAUAAUUAAAACUUUUAACAAUGGGUCUCUUGGUUCUCGUAUCGAUGAAGAACGCAGCGAAACGCGAUAUUUCUUGUGAAUUGCAGAAGUGAAUCAUCAGUUUUUGAACGCACAUUGCACUUUGGGGUAUCCCCCAAAGUAUACUUGUUUGAGCGUUGUUUCUCUCUUGGGAUUGCUUUGCUCUUCUAAAAUUUCGAAUCAAAUUCGUUUGAAAAACAACACUAUUCAACCUCAGAUCAAGUAGGGUUACCCGCUGAACUUAAGCAUAUCAAUAAGCGGGGGGAAAGAAACCAACAGGGGUUGCCUUAGUAACGGCGAGUGAAGCGGCAAAAGCUCAAAUUUGAAAUCGGCCACCAGGUCGAGUUGUAAUUUGUAGAUUGUAUCUUGAGAGCGGGUUAAAGUCUGUUGGGACACAGCGCCUUAGAGGGUGACAGCCCCGUAAAAUCUAUUCUCAUUGUAAGAUACUUUCGAAGAGUCGAGUUGUUUGGGGAUGCAGCUCUAAGUGGGGGGUAAAUUCCUUCUAAAGCUAAAUAUUGACGAGAGACCGAUAGC
rnacentral:rRNA from 1 species